rnacentral:rRNA from 1 species
AGGAUGAACGCUGGCGGCGUGCCUAACACAUGCAAGUCGAACGUCCUGUCUCGCAAGAGGCAGGGAGUGGCGGACGGGUGAGUACCACGUGGGUUAUCUACCGUGAGGUGAGGAAUACCGGCGAGAAAUCGCCGACAAUACCGCAUAGCCUCGGUGCAAGCCGAGGAAAGCUUUCUCGAGAGAGGGAGCGCCACACGAGGAGCCUGCGCCCGAUUAGCUAGCUGGUGGAGUAACGGUUCACCAGGGCGACGAUCGGUAGCUGGUCUGAGAGGACGAUCAGCCACACUGGGAUUGAGAACGGCCCAGACUCCUACGGGGGGCAGCAGUGAGGAAUUUUCGUCAAUGGGGGCAACCCUGAACGAGCAACGCCGCGUGCAGGAAGAAGGUUUUCGGAUCGUAAACUGCUUUUCUCGGGGAAGAGAACGGACGGUACCCGAGGAAUCAGCCCCGGCUAACUACGUGCCAGCAGCCGCGGUAA